CAAUAGCGUAUAUUAAAGUUGUUGCGGUUAAAAAGCUCGUAGUUGGAUUUCUGCUUUGGACGACCGGUCCGCCCUGUGGGUUGGCAUCUGGAUCGGCUUGGGCAUCUUCUUGGGGAACGUAGCUGCACUUGACUGUGUGGUGCGGUACCCAGGACUUUUACCUUGAGGAAAUUAGAGUGUUUCAAGCAGGCGCACGCCUUGAAUACAUUAGCAUGGAAUAAUAAGAUAGGACCUCGGUUCUAUUUUGUUGGUUUCUAGAGCUGAGGUAAUGAUUAAUAGGGAUAGUUGGGGGCAUUCGUAUUUAACUGUCAGAGGUGAAAUUCUUGGAUUUGUUGAAGACGGACUACUGCGAAAGCAUUUGCCAAGGAUGUUUUCAUUGA
rnacentral:rRNA from 1 species